GGGAGCCGGAUACACGGAAACGGGUAUGUCCGGUUCUAAUUGGGAGGGGCGGGAGAUAAUACUCCCCCUCGACCUAAC
rnacentral:ncRNA from 1 species